AUUUCGAGCAUGACUUCAUUGGCGUCAGCAACGUUUUGCUGUUCGGGUUUAGCCGCCAUGUUUAAGUUGGCCGGGUUUCGCACCACUGAGGUCAUGGAUACUCAGGCCUCUUUGCGUGUUUCUUCAACACUGCUUCUAAGGUUAACCGCGUUACAUUUGUUGGAGAAAAUCCUGGGAACGCUGAAAAGGACUAGUGGGUGGGGUGCGAGGGUGGGGUCUUGCCCGAAUUAAAGAUGGCCGCAGUCAGCUCUGCCCCGCGCAAUUUCACGUCAAGUUUUGGAGCUGCGGGAGCCGGCCAGUUGGCCUCAGCGCCUCCUUACGGAAUUGGCGUAAGGCAAAGAGGCGCGGCUGGAAGAACCAGACUGAGAAAGUGCCACAGGGCGGGGGCCGCAUCCGCCCCUCGGCUUCUGGUUACUGACCCGACGGCUUUGUCCUGGAACCAAUCCCCUCUGAUACUGAGAGACAACUAUUACACAAGAGAAAUAUUCUACCAUUCACAAAAUCUCGUUUAAGUGUUGUGAAAUACAAACACCAGGGAAUCAAGAACUUUAGAAAAUUGUGGCUGUGUUCCCAUAUGUGGUACAAAGAACCAGUGAGUCCCAUUUGUUGUGGUUCCUGCAUUCGAUGACUCCAGAUGUGCCACCACCGAGCUAGUCUUAUGACAACCUAGAAGGCAAAUUGGGAUGGCCCUAUAUUUGUCACUGAGAGCAGAAGGGUUGAGAACUUAGAUCCUGACAGGAGGCCCACCUUUAUUGGAGAAAUGGCUCUGCAACUUAAAAAAAUGUGAAAAUUAGCCGGGUGUGCACCACUGGUCCCAGCUACUCAGGAGGCUGAGGUGGGAGGAUUGCUUGAGCACAGGAGUUUGAGGCUACAGUGAGCCAAGAUCACACCACUGCACUCCAGCCUGGGCAACAGAGCGAGACCCCGCCUCAAAAACAGAAGGACUAUUACAACUUGUAAAAAUUAGUGAGUUAUACGUGGGAAGCAUUUUGGCCUCACAAUUGAGAAGCAGAGAAGUGGUUCAAGGCUCAUGUAAGACUGCUGGGAUUUGAAAUUUAUCCUAUUAUUUGAAGACUGAAAUCAAAAUAUGAAGGUGGAGCAUCAUGUGUGCCUUCUGUCUUGUUCUCUACUAGGGUGUAAACCAUUUAACUAAAAAUAGUCUCCAAUUUGACACCUUCCCAACAUUUCACUAGUAUACUCCAAAUCUCCAUGCAGGGUUACAGACCUAUUUCAGCUGGCUCCAUUUACUCUGAGGCAGAUAAAGCUGAGAUUGCAACAUCAGAAGCAGUUCAACCAAUCAUUAUGUACAAACCUCAGCCCAUUUGUAUAAUGCAAUCCUUCUGGUAGUAAUGACACAAAACAUGCCUAUAGGGACGAUCACAACCCUGUCAAAGUCCCAAGUCAUCUGUGGCACCAGGGCCACAGAACUUCUUACCACUUGGAAGCAAAAUAGUUGCUUUAAUGGUAACCAAAUGCCCUCCUUCAAGACAGUAUUUCAAGAAGGAGGAGUAUACGUAUAUUAUACAAACAUAUCCAAUCCCUUUAGAAGAUAAUUAUCAAUAUCAUGCAGGGAAGCUGGAACACACACACAAAAUCGAGUACUAUCUAGAAGAUCAAGCCACAAAUCUCAAGAGAAGCAGUAAGUGUCCAGGGCCUGGGAUUUUUUAUCUUGGCCGUGAGAAUAGCACAGCCCAUGGUGCAGAAACGACAGGCUAGUUGUCCAGCAUAACAUGGUGUUUUAUUUCACCAUAGUAGACUGCUGGGAAAUCUCUGGAGGCCUUGGCAGCUGUGUCUUGUCUUUAAUAUGAAGCCUGGGGGGGAAGACAGAGAGAGAGACUCAUAAUUCACAAGAGGCCCAGCCGUAAGAAAGCCAUUCUAAAUAACUGAAUCAGGCACCGAGGAGGAGCGACUAUUCCAUUCCUAAGUCAAGAAUGCUUUUUGUCUUUCCUUCUCUCCUAAUUGGCUCAUGAAAAGAUCAUUUAUGUGUGGUAGAAUCAGUACAUCAGAGGCAGCUUCUGUUUCUCUCCAUUUCUCCUCCCCACUGCUGCUGUCCUGUAAAAAGACCCUUUGUUACAGACUGAAACAGCAGAUGCAGCUCAGAUAUUAUCUUGAAUAAUUUUGUGGGGAGCAUUUUAUCUUGAAUUGGUGUAAUGCCAUUUUCACGUGGAAAGUGGUUCUAUGUCUGAUCCAAAUGUUCUAGAAACUUGAGAGACCCAUAUGGCAAAGAAGUACUUUACACACAUAUCUCUUUAAAGUAGUGCAGGGUAUGGGAAGAACUGAUAAUGCUGAUUAAAUGAUAUGUAGACGAAAUGAAUGUAAACUGGCAUCAUGGGCUGAGUGAGUCAGGGGAGGCCUUGUGGAAGAGAUAAGAGUAAUAGAAAAUGCUAGGUCAAGUAUGUGUAGAGGCCUGGAGAGAGGAAUGGACUUAGUGGGUCCAAAAGUAAGAAGACUUGUUUGUUGUGAAUACAGAGUUAGAAGUAGGUAGAAGAAAAAGUUGGUCGGGUCCUGCAGAGAUUAAAAAUCCGGUUUAAGAUUUUAGAUUGUUUCAAUCAUCAAUUAGUUGGUGUCUGUGUUCAUUGUGGAAAUGCUUUAAAUAUAGAUAACAAAAAGGAUAAUAACUUACAAUCCUACCAGUCGUAGGAUGAUGAUGGCAGACAAUGUGGUGCACAUUCUUUCAUAUAUUUUAUUGUCCUAGUUUAAGGUUCCCUAUAGGCAGAUCCUGAGAUGAAGAUUUAAAUGCACACCACUUAUUGAGGAGGUGAUUUCAGGAAACACCGGCAGGAGAGUGGGGCAGUAUGACAGGGAAAGAAAGGAAGCAAAAAAAUAAAGGGCAUGUUCUCAAAGGAAUCAGUUGGAGAGCAGUCAUGCUGGAGACACUGGAAGAGAGUAUAGAAGAUGUCUCAAUGUAGUCCUGCCUAGGGAUCAGGAAGUCGAAGUAUUUAUCCACUAAUUCUUGUCAAUUGAGAAUUUAUUUGAGGGGCAUUAACUCUCCAAAACGGUCUCCCUGUGCCGGAAAAAUAACCCUAAGCAGAAUGUUGUAGGUAUUUGCAGCAAAUAGCCCUCAGUGUGUCCUGAGGAUUGGUGUAGUACAUAAAUAUACAAAAUUAUUUUUAUUUAUAAAAAAGCUUUCUAUGCAUCAGGCUCUGUACUGUGUGUUUUACUUGCAUUCACUCAAAAUAGUUCUCACAGAAGCCCUAUGAGGUCGGCGCUACUCUUAUCCCCUGAGGAUUAGAGGCUGGGAGAAGUAUAUAUGAGAGUCAUAUGGAGAUUAAAUACCUGAAGUCAUGAGGAGAUGAUGCACUCUCCAAGAGAGCUUUGAUGACAGCCUAUUUAUGCAGCUUCUGUCAUCUGUACACAUUCUCCUCUUUCUGUCAACAAAGAGUUUUUCUUUUGCAAUUGUAAAUGUCCUCUGUUUUCAGAGACUUUUGUUGGAAAACAAAACAAAAUCUUGAGACAUGAAGGAUCUGUAAUGGACACCUGUCGAUUGUGUCUGUUCAGCAGCUCCUCUCCCACCUGUCUUCCAGUACAACACCUUAUUUCAUUGGAGAGAAAGGUUCUACCUCUUCUCCUUAAGGUUUUAGUGGACAGCCAAACCAGUCUUCAGUCUACAGGGUGAGUAUGAGAUCCAGGCUUGACCAACCAUAGUCACCACCCACUUGGCUACAUCAAAUUGAGCCAGAAAGAGCCUUUCCCUGGGAAUUUAUAUGUAGACUUUGGGAAAAGGAAGCUUUCUUCUCUGAUGUUACUAGACAGCGAUGACAAAACCAGUGCUUGUCUGGACCAUGCUCCACUUCCUCUCCACAGCAAGAUGAGCAAGCUCAUCUGUAGUAGGAAAGAAUGUAGGAAUGCAUCCCCUGCACAGAGAAAAGCGGAGGAGAGAAUGAGAGAGAGAGAGAGAGAGAGAGAGAGAGAGAGAGAGAGAGAGAGAUCUGACUGUACUGCUAAGUCCCUGCAAUCCCCACCAAGGUCUGCAAGGUCUACUUCCCCUAGACUACAACUACCCAUUACUUGUGCCAAAUAUUCAAUAAAUCGUAACCUUAGCAGGGAGAGGGAUGAAGAGAGAUUGAUUAAUGGGUAUGUAUAUACAGUAUGAUAGAAGAAAUAAGACCUAGUAUUUCAUCAGUCAGUAGUAUGACUAUAGUUUACAAUAAUCUAUUGUAUAUUUCAAUAUAGCUAGAAGAGAAGAAUUAGAAUGUUUCUAGCAUAAAGAAAACACAAAUAUUUAAGGUGAUGGGAAUCUCAGUUACACUGAUUUUAUCUUUACAAGGCAUAUGAAUGUUUUAAAUUGUCAUAGUACCCCCAAAAUAUGUACAUGUUAUGUAUCAAUAAAACACAAAAUUAAAAAAUAAAUAUUUAAACAAUCAUAACCUUACUCCUUCCUUCCUUCCUUUCUUCCUUCUAUUUCUUUCUUUCUUAUUUCUUUGUUUAUAACUGGUUCAACUUGGGUUUCUGUUUCUUGCAACCAUAGUCUUGACUAAUUCAGGACCAAGUGCACUCUUAAUCAUGAAGUAUAUCUGUGGCCCUUAAGUUAUAUAUUGGAGUAAGAGAGCAGGGGGUGGAGAGAAUCAAAUUAUGACAGGACAGAAAUGGCCUUUUUCCAUCUAUCACAAUUUUAUUUGCCUCCAUGAUUAUCAGGUCGAUUCCAACUCUUUGAGGCAUGAAGGACCAGGAAGGAGGCAUCUGCCUUUAGGAAAUGCUGAACUGCAAUAGCAACAUGAAGCAUGGUUUCCUAUUGACUGCUGCCUUUGACCUGCAGCCAUUGAUGGCAUUCAUCAAUCAAAGUCUAACCAAUUGGGACUAUCAGACUUUUCCCUCCUACUCACACAACUCAAGGACAUGGAGAACUCUGGUUUUAGGGGGUGUAAGCUGAUGGUUCCAUGAGUUCUAACCUGUGGCUUAGCCAGUCUUUGGCUUGUAUAAGCCUCUAAAGGUUCAGCAGAUCUAAAAUCUUAGCGUGAUUGUAUUAACCUGAAAGCUAUAAGACACCCUUGAAAUAAUAGUUGCCCUUAAUUAAGCACUAUGUAUCUGGACUUUGUGUGUGCUGCCACAAUGCAAUCCUCACAGAAUCCUGCAAAGUAGGUAUUAUUGCCCUUUUAUGAAUGAAGACCUUGAAAUUCAGAGAGGUUAGCAGCCAUCAGCCCCUCAAACCCAGGCCUGUAAGACUGAAGGCUUUACUCUCAGGAUAUGCAACGAGGCUAUACAUUUAAUCCUAAACUCCCAAGCACAACUUUUAGAAGGGCUCUCUAGCCCUUUGUUAUUUAAGUCAGUGAUUCUUAAACAGGAUAUGGAAACCCCCAUUGGGUGGAUUUGUGUAUCAACUCAGCUAAACUAAAACUAUGGCACCCAAAAUUCCCUUCUCUGCCUUAGCCUCCUAAAGUGCUGAGAUUAUAGGUGUGAGCCACCAUACCUAGCUUUGUGUGAGAUUUAGAAAGCAAAAGUAAAGCAGUGAAGUAGCAGACAUACAUUUUUUACACCUGAAAGGUUGGUGCAGGUCACAGGUGCUGUUGCAUCUCAUUCAUGUUGUUCCUUACCUGUUGACUUGCAUUGUGGUGUGGAACAGUAGCCACGCCUGCAACUUCUCCAGCCUCUCUGACUUCCAGACCCAACAUGUCCUCCAUGACGAAGGACACCAGCUUCUCCUAGAGAGUACCUGACCAUUGAAGUUGGCAGCUUGAAAGCAGUAGGAUAUGAAUGCAGAUUCCAGUCCGUCCUCGUGGGUUCCAGUUUGCCUGUUUCCCCAACUUCACAGACAUCUCUCUUUCCCAAAUGCCUUCUCUGAGGAUUUCAGGCUUCAGCACCAAACACAGAUGCGAUGGCCUCACACAGAGUAAGUAACAAGCUCCCCCAAAUGAAUAAGAUCAAAUCCCUAUAAUAAAUGCCCUACUAUAUCAAUCUAUCUACCUGUCUGUCUAUCUAUCUGUCUAUCUAUCUACCUACCUACCUACCUACCUACCUACCUACCUACCUACCUACCUAUCUAUCUCCUAGUAUUCUACUUCUCUAAUUGAACCUUGACUGAUCUCCUACACCUUUGGUAAGUGAAGACUUUAAGACUACAGAUAAUUUUAAGGAGACCAUUUCCUAGAUCUUCCAUCUCCUGUCUACUGUUUCCUAACACUGAUCUAUAAGCCCAUGUUUGCCCUCACUGUACCAGUUUGGUUCUCCAGGAAGAAGAUGCUGACAGAGAGAGAGAGAGAGAGAGAGAGAGAGAGAGAGAGAGAGAGAGAGUUAGGAAUACCAGUGUUUUAUUGGGGAGUGACAUCUGGGAAAUGAGGGGGAGAGCAGGGUUAGGCAGCUGGAGUUGUCUGACUGUAACGCAGACCCCACAAAGUUGGCCAGCUCAGUGGGGAAGCUCCAGAGCCAAGAUUGCAUCUUAGAAGUUCUCCUGUUGGGUGGAAAUGGCCAAGCCCAUGUACAUCAGCUGUUUUUCAGUUAUUGCCUGAGGCUGCCCCAAGAAGAGCAUGACCUUGGCUGGAAAGCUGAGGCAGAUCCUGAGGAACGUAACAGCUGGAGGGUGUCUGCUAGCCACACUCCUCCCAGCUAAGGAGACAGCCUUUCUUGCAGGGGGAUCUGAGCAGCACAUUUCCACAUCUGCCACCUCUCUCAUCCCAAAUCUUAUGAAGGAAUAUUGCCCCAGGCUAUGAAAACUUCCCCUGUGAAUGAAACAAGUGGGUAUAUUGAAAUGUUGAUUUGGGGGCCUCAUCAAUCCAUAAGUGUCAUGAAAGAGGGAUUCUUCUAGACCAGUAUUUCUCAACCUCUCUUCAUUAUUGCACCCCAU
rnacentral:lncRNA from 1 species